UUCAGAAUUACCACAGCAGCGUUUGUUUUUCACCGUUCACAGCACCAACAAACAUUUAUGAAGUGCUAACUCUGUGCAAGGUCCGAGGUAGGACGCAGCGAUGAAUAAGAAGUGAUGUUUGUGGUUCAUCUGGGGAGGAAGACAGUAGGAGGGAUGUUCUGCAGUCUACUGGUUUCAUACUGUUGCUUUCCAGCACUGGGCAUUUCAGAAGGUGUCAGAAAACAACAGAACCAGUUAGCUUAAAAACUCGAGGGCCAUCUGACGUUCCUGUUCUACCACAUGGGGCUGGAACCAUGCGUGGCAUCCAAGAGACUUUGUUGCUGCUUCCGCCUCGUCACAUUCUGGUUCGGAGAUGUCAGUGUCGCAGCGCUGGGGGAAUGCUGAGCCUUCCAUCUCUUUGCUUCUCCACCUGAAGUGCUUUUAAAUGUAACAGCAGAUUUGCUGGAAUUUUGCCCAGAUGCCUUUUCUCUCCCAGUCGGACCCAGCCACUCUCCCAAAGUUGUUCCUUUGGGACAAGACUCUCAGAAGAAGUCCAUGCAUGGCUCCUCCUUCUCUGCGGGGUGAUUAGUACCCAGGUCACAUAUGCGUCAGACACACUCGGAGGGGCUCCCCCUCCAUCCUGGCCAAUGGCCGACUGGACCAGCCAACGUUUUGUUUUACUUGACAUGAAAGCUGGUUGAAGUUAAGCAGGAGACAUGUUUUUGUUUCUUUAAUAAA
rnacentral:lncRNA from 1 species